rnacentral:tRNA from 1 species
GGGGUUGUAGCUCAGUGGUAGAGCGCUUGCUGUGAAGGCGUGAGGCACUCGGUUCGAUCCUCAGCACCA